rnacentral:rRNA from 1 species
UACAUAGGUCUCAAGCGUUGUUCGGAUUCAUUGGGCGUAAAGGGUGCGUAGGUGGCUCCGUAAGUCAGGUGUGAAAUUUCGGAGCUUAACUCCGAAACUGCAUUUGAUACUGCGGUGCUUGAGGACUGGAGAGGAGACUGGAAUUUACGGUGUAGCAGUGAAAUGCGUAGAGAUCGUAAGGAAGACCAGUGGCGAAGGCGGGUCUCUGGACAGUUCCUGACACUGAGGCACGAAGGCCAGGGGAGCAAACGGG